rfam:Pteropus alecto contig79346, whole genome shotgun sequence.
GCUGCCCUGCAGCUGCUGGUAUGGCCGGCACCACAGACGCAGCUGCCGUGCUGCACCUGUGACCUCGGGGCAAAGAGGAAGUGGCUAUUUCUACGCUCAGUGUUCAGAACAGUGAGCACUAAGAAUGGUUUGUAGCCUGACAUUU